GAUCAUGGCUCAGGACGAACGCUGGCGGCAUGCCUAACACAUGCAAGUCGAACGGAGAUUAUUUCGAUAAUCUUAGUGGCGAACGGGUGAGUAACGCGUGGGCAACCUACCCUCUAGAUGGGGACAACAUCCCGAAAGGGGUGCUAAUACCGAAUGUGACAGCAAUCUCGCAUGAGGAUGCUGUGAAAGAUGGCCUCUAUUUAUAAGCUAUCGCUAGAGGAUGGG
rnacentral:rRNA from 1 species